rnacentral:rRNA from 1 species
CUACGGGCGGCUGCAGUAGGGAAUCUUAGACAAUGGGGGAAACCCUGAUCUAGCCAUGCCGCGUGAGUGAUGAAGGCCUUAGGGUUGUAAAGCUCUUUCGCUGGGGAAGAUAAUGACGGUACCCAGUAAAGAAACCCCGGCUAACUCCGUGCCAGCAGCCGCGGUAAUACGGAGGGGGUUAGCGUUGUUCGGAAUUACUGGGCGUAAAGCGCGCGUAGGGGGGCUAUUAAGUCAGGGGUGAAAUCCCGGGGCUCAACCCCGGAACUGCCUUUGAUACUGGUAGUCUUGAGUUCGAGAGAGGUGAGUGGAAUUCCGAGUGUAGAGGUGAAAUUCGUAGAUAUUCGGAGGAACAUCAGUGGCGAAGGCGACUCACUGGCUCGAUACUGACGCUGAGGUGCGAAAGUGUGGGGAGCAAACAGGAUUAGAUACCCUAGUAGUC